rnacentral:rRNA from 1 species
GACGAACGCUGGCGGCGUGCUUAACACAUGCAAGUCGAACGAUGAAGCCUAGCUUGCUAGGUGGAUUAGUGGCGAACGGGUGAGUAAUACGUGAGUGACCUACCUUUGACUCUGGGAUAAGCCUGGGAAACUGGGUCUAAUACCGGAUACGACCAAUCUCCGCAUGGGGUGUUGGUGGAAAGCGUUAUGGAGUGGUUUUAGAUGGGCUCACGGCCUAUCAGCUUGUUGGUGAGGUAAUGGCUUACCAAGGCGACGACGGGUAGCCGGCCUGAGAGGGUGACCGGCCACACUGGGACUGAGACACGGCCCAGACUCCUACGGGAGGCAGCAGUGGGGAAUAUUGCACAAUGGGCGCAAGCCUGAUGCAGCGACGCCGCGUGAGGGAUGACGGCCUUUCGGGUUGUAAACCUCUGUUAGCAUCGAAGAAGCGAAAGUGACGGUAGGUGCAGAGAA